rnacentral:rRNA from 1 species
GACGCCCGGUCCCAUUCCGAACCCGGAAGCUAAGGCCUGGCACGGCGAUGGUACUGCACUCGACAGGGUGUGGGAGAGUAGCACACCGCCGCAU